UGUGAUCUGAAAGUCACCCUGUGCC
rnacentral:piRNA from 1 species